AGGUCCGCGCGGCGCGGCGGGGCCCGUGUGUGCCCGGCGCGGGCAAUGGGGCACCGAGGCCCGGCGGAGGUGGGCGCCCGGUGGGGCCCGGCCGCACAGGUGGAAUGCUUCCUAUUCCUCAGCUGGCUCAACAGAUUAGCCAGGAGCAAAAACAACAGCAAAAUGGACCAAACUUGUCAAGUUUGGAUAGUUCCUUACCUGCUUCACACAGCAAUAAACCAACUUUUCUUCAGCAGCUACAAAACGUCCCUGCAUUUUAGUUGGUAAACCUGCAAGUAGAGUUAGAAGAAGGAGGAAGAAAGCAUUAAACUCACAGACCAUCUCAAAAAAAAAGCACACAGACUGGUCUCUCUUUGAUGUGAUUGGGAUGGAAAACCAAAUUACUUGCUAUGAAGCACAAAUACUGCCAAACUGAAGGUAAGUAGGAAGCUUAUUGAAGAGAUCUGCUCUUCUGCAUCACCCAGACUUGAGCCAGGGAAGCUCAAACCAAAUAGGCAGGAUGGAAGCUCUGGCUGUCUUGCUUUGGAAGCUGAAAACAAGAGGACAUCGUGUGUUGGUUUUGAUGCAGAUGUUUCAGUACUGGAGCUUUUCUUGAACUUCCAUUUUCUCAUGUGUGUAAGAGUUGAUGAGACUGGUGCUUGCAGUUGACAUCUGGAGUGCUUAAAAACUUCACCCAAGACAAGCAAUUGCUGUGUGCUGGUCUGUCUUCCCACACUCUUUCCAUGGGUGUCGGCAUACAGAUGUGAAUACUCUUGUCUUCUAUGGCACUGAUGGAUGCAAAAGCUAAAGAGUGGUGUUUCCAUAAGGUUCUUUGCUUUGAAUAUGGAAAAGAGGAUUCCAGAAAGUUUACAGAAGAGCCACAGUCUGAUAUAAGAAAUGACAUAGGUUCAGAGUUGGAUGAUUGAAGAAAUGGAGUUUCUUCACAGUUAGAAAUACUGUUCCCUCACAGCUAGAACAGCUGGCUAGUGUUGUGGAUCAGGUAUGGCAAAGUCUCCUGUUUUAUGUAAACUUUUAGGAAUACUUGAUAUUUAUUUUCCUGUGCAACAAUCAAAUGGCUUUCAUAAAGUACUUGAUUUCCACUCCAUUUACAUGAAACAGUUCUGUGCAAACUUAGAUACUGAAACAAUCCUGGGAGGUCAUCUGAACUUGUUGAUAAAUGUUUCAGAAUGUGAACAGAUCUAAGUCAGCAAAUGUUCUCUUGAGGAUUGUGAAGUGCAUUGAACUAAAUUGUGUCUUGAGAUACAAAACUGAUUUCAAGUCCUGUGCUUUGCCAGGUUCUUGUGUUUUUCUUAAAGGCCUUGGAUCUGUUUCUCUUAAAUAAUGAAAUGACUGUUCUUAGCAUUUCCUAAGUUCUGUCAGAUUCUGGUAGUCUCCUUUUCCCUUUGGCUGCUUGUGCAGAACCCACGUAGCAGCCUGCUGACAACCAACCAGUCAACAGUCUGCAUCAUAACUUGGAUGGGAUUCUCAGGUUUCUUUUUUUCAGUUAGGAAAAUGGAAGCCAAUAGUUGGAGUCUUUUCUCUGUGAUAAUGGUGGGAUGUGAGCAGAUGAGCUUGGGCCCAGAAUGUCUGUUUUCUUGGUCCUUAGAUUUCUUUUCUACCUUAAUUACAGUGCCAUUAUUUGCAACUGAAAUAAAUACAUUAAUUGGCUAGGGUGUUUUUCUGCUUAUUUUUAAAUCACUGGUUAUUUAUGUGUUUCUAAUUAAAAAAUAACUAGCAAUGUGUCUAAAUGGCUUAAGCCAACUGAAAAGUACACGUUGAAUUCCUUGGAAUUGUUUCAUGCUUUGAAUGAUCAAGAGGGCCAGAAAGUCAAGAAGGUAAGUGACUGUAUUUCAUUUUCUGAGUAAUUAAAAACAAACCAGAAAACCCUAACUGUCAGAUAAUAAAGAGUAGCACUAGGAUACCUCUUUUCCCCUUGCAUCACAUGCGGAUUUUAUUGCCCGUGCUCCAGGUAAGCAGUGUGUAGUUUACACUGUACAUAAGCAAGUCUUCUGUCUGGGAUUUUGCACUGAAUGUUCAAGAAAGGUGUCCCCACUGUUACCUGCCCUGGCAGAAAUGCCGCUUUAGACGUUAUUACACUCUGCU